GGGGGUGCACUGGUUUCGACUUGGAAGCGAAGCAUUAGUGGCAUGCAGAGGAUUUCGGAUGGCCUCUUAAAAAUCCGAUAAAACAUAACUGCAAAAAACAGUAACGUUGUUGAAGUUAACUUCUCUGAAGCUAGCUUCGCAGCUGCAGCCUAAAACCUAACCGUUUUAAGUUGCCGAUGUCAAGCCGAUCUAACCGGGAGUUAGUUUGUCAUCGUCAUAUUUUCCUGGUGUGAGCUAUUUUCUUGGAUCCCUAAGAAAAUAACCUCGAGAUUAUAAGGGGUGUGUGGGCUUGAAGUGACGUGUUUCCCAGCAAAGCCUGCACUAUAAAAGGAAGCACUAAGCAUGUAGUCAUUAGUGGGGAGUUUGCUAAGGACGAGAGUUCGAAU
rnacentral:tmRNA from 1 species